UUUAUCCCUUUCAGUGUUAUUAUACUUGGUCAAUUUGGUCUUAGCUGAUGUUGGAACAUGGUAAAGUAGUUAGAAAAUUGAAUUUAGGUUUCUCUACCGCUACAAUUCAUUUAUUAUUAGAUUGCAAUGCUUAGUUUUGUUAAGCUUCGACCGCUCAAAAACUUCUUUUUGGGGAGAGUUGUAGUUGUUGGGAGAGAUUCAACAAGGACUUCUCAAAGUCUGAAGAUUUUGUCAUUUAAUCAGAAUAUCACUAAUGCCAUCUAUGUUAGUCCUAAUAUUAACAACAUCAUGUGGUUGAACUUUAAGUUAAUAUUGAUGUUGAUCUUUGAGUUAAUAUUUACUCUUACAGAAUAUGAUAUAUCAGGUCACAUAGUGGGUGAACGAGAAUAUUGCCCCUCUAGUGACAUCUAUAUGAAUUCAAGUUCCAAUUCAGUUAUAUAUCCUCAGUGUAUUUGAAAAUUAUUAAAUGUUUGAUACAUAUGACUUUCUUUUCUAACUAUACAUUUUAAAGAGGGGAAAUUUGUUGUACUAUAUUUCAAUAAAUAAAAGUAUGACUUAAUAGAAAAGUAUGACCACUAUUUAAUUUACUGCAUGCUCUUUACUUAUUUCUUAUGUUCUAGAAAACAGCCACAAGUGUUUGGGGUCUAGCAGCACGUUGGCUAGCAGAUUAGGAAAUCAUACCUUUUGAUUAUGUAUCAUAUGCUAAGAAGCUCUAGAUGUGCCCACCUUAGAUGCAUAUUUAAUCAAAUAAUUGUAGUUUUAUACAAAAUCUAUUCUCACUGAGACCAUGAAAUUCUUACUACACAAAAUAUCUCAAUAGCAGCUUAGCAUUGAGGUACUGGAAACUUAGAUUUCAAACAAGCAGCAUUCAUGAUAUAGAACCAGAGAAAAGGUAUGUAAUAAUUCUUAAAUAACUUUUUGGCAAGGAUGAGAAAUGCAAAACAGUGAAAUAUGAUUUUUCAGGAAUUAGAAGCAAGUAAAGGAUUGACAACAAGGAAUGAGGACCAUUUGUAAGUGAGAGAGCUGAAUGAUGGCUGAGUAUGCAUUCACUGACAGAACUGGCCUCUUUGGAAUGUCAUGGUAUAAGCAUCUGAUACCGGAGAGCUGACCUUUAAUAUGUUUUGACAACUUAGUGUGGGGAGCUUCUUUGUAGCUUGCCAUGCCUACAUCAGAUUUAUCAGACUAUACCGGUUUGUUGCAAUUGAAGCUGGAAUGACUCCAAAUAUUUUCUAUUGUCUCAAGAUUUUGAAGCCUCCGCAUAUCCACUUUUCCUAGCUUAGGAUUUGGACAUAAAGAAGGGCAUAUACUUAUCCAUUUGUUUUUGCAAUUUUAACCCAUGUUCAGAAUUUUAUCCUAUUUUCUAUGUUAUUUUAUAGAGUAACCCCCCAGAUACUUGUUGGUAUGACUUGUUAUAGAAUGAUAUGUGAUUUAAGUAGGCUAAAUAAUUAUUUGGCCUUCUUCCUGAACAUGUUAAGUUCUUCAGAAUGUCCUUUAUUUGAGUUCAUGAUUUACUUUUGAUUGUUGGUUGAUA